rnacentral:rRNA from 1 species
UACGGAGGGUGCGAGCGUUGUCCGGAAUUACUGGGCGUAAAGCGCGCGUAGGCGGCUCGGUCAGUCGGGUGUGAAAUCCCUGGGCUCAACCUGGGAACUGCAUUCGAUACUGCCGAGCUAGAGUGUGGGAGAGGGUAGUGGAAUUCCCGGUGUAGCGGUGAAAUGCGUAGAUAUCGGGAGGAACAUCAGUGGCGAAGGCGACUGCCUGGCCCAACACUGACGCUGAGGUGCGAAAGCGUGGGUAGCAAACGAGG